rnacentral:rRNA from 1 species
GACGAACGCUGGCGGCGUGCUUAACACAUGCGAGUCGAACGGAAAGGCCCUGCUUUUGUGGGGUGCUCGAGUGGCGAACGGGUGAGUAACACGUGAGUAACCUGCCCUUGACUUUGGGAUAACUUCAGGAAACUGGGGCUAAUACCGGAUAGGAGCUCCUGCUGCAUGGUGGGGGUUGGAAAGUUUCGGCGGUUGGGGAUGGACUCGCGGCUUAUCAGCUUGUUGGUGGGGUAGUGGCUUACCAAGGCUUUGACGGGUAGCCGGCCUGAGAGGGUGACCGGCCACAUUGGGACUGAGAUACGGCCCAGACUCCUACGGGGGGCAGCAGUGGGGAAUAUUGCACAAUGGGCGGAAGCCUGAUGCAGCAACGCCGCGGGCGGGAUGACGGCCUUCGGGUUGUAAACCGCUUUCGCCUGUGACGAAGCGGGAGUGACGGUAAUGGGUAAAGAAGCACCGGCUAACUACGUG